AAGCGGAGGAAAAGAAACCAACAGGGAUUGCCCUAGUAACGGCGAGUGAAGCGGCAACAGCUCAAAUUUGAAAGCUGGCCUUCGGGUCCGCAUUGUAAUUUGUAGAGGAUGCUUUGGGUGAAACGCCAGUCUAAGUUCCUUGGAACAGGACGUCAUAGAGGGUGAGAAUCCCGUAUGUGACUGGAAAUGUUAACCUAUGUAAAGCUCCUUCGACGAGUCGAGUUGUUUGGGAAUGCAGCUCUAAAUGGGAGGUAAAUUUCUUCUAAAGCUAAAUAUUGGCGAGAGACCGAUAGCGCACAAGUAGAGUGAUCGAAAGAUGAAAAGCACUUUGGAAAGAGAGUUAAAAAGCACGUGAAAUUGUUGAAAGGGAAGCGCUUGCAAUCAGACUUGUUUAAACUGUUCGGCCGGUCUUCUGACCGGUUUACUCAGUUUGGACAGGCCAGCAUCAGUUUCGGCGGCCGGAUAAAGGCUCUGGGAAUGUGGCCUUCACUUCGGUGAAGGUGUUAUAGCCCAGGGUGUAAUACGGCCAGCCGGGACUGAGGUCCGCGCUCGGCUAGGAUGCUGCGAA
rnacentral:rRNA from 1 species